CCCUUAGACGUUCUGGGCCGCACGCGCGCUACACUGAUGCAUUCAACGAGCCUAGCCUUGACCGAGAGGUCCGGGUAAUCUUUGAAACUGCAUCGUGAUGGGGCUAGAUUAUUGCAAUUAUUAAUCUUCAACGAGGAAUGCCUAGUAAGCGUGAUUCAUCAAAUCGCGUUGAUUACGUCCCUGCCCUUUGUACACACCGCCCGUCGCUCCUACCGAUUGAGUGUGUUGGUGAGGAGUUUGGAUUGGCCUCGGAAGGUGGUUCGCCACCGUCCGUAGCUGAGAAGUUCUCCAAACCGCCCCACUUAGAGGAAGGAGAAGUCGUAACA
rnacentral:rRNA from 1 species